rnacentral:rRNA from 1 species
UACGUAGGGUGCGAGCGUUAAUCGGAAUUACUGGGCGUAAAGCGUGCGCAGGCGGCUUCGCAAGUCAGACGUGAAAUCCCCGGGCUUAACCUGGGAAUGGCGUUUGAAACUACGGAGCUGGAGUAUGGUAGAGGGGGGUGGAAUUCCACGUGUAGCGGUGAAAUGCGUAGAUAUGUGGAGGAACACCGAUGGCGAAGGCAGCCCCCUGGGCCAAUACUGACGCUCAUGCACGAAAGCGUGGGGAGCAAACAGG